AUAGAAAUCUAUAAAAUAUAACCGAGUCGCAAAAGAACAAUUAAUAUAGUGUAUAAUAUUCAGGCUGGCUGGAUAAUUUAUUUUUUAUUGGUUUGGUCAAUUGGGAUCUCGUUUUGUACCCCACAUAGAGAAAACUUUCGCAUAUCCAAAUAUUCAUGAACCUAUGUUCGACACUGCUGAACAAUCGAACAGCAAACAUCUACAGAUUAUCAAAUCUCGAUAAAUGUCAUUUAAAGGUUGAAAAAAUCAUGUGGAUGUUUUUUAAGGAAUAUACACAGAGUCCGGGGAACAUUCACCAAACCAUGGAAUUUUUCAAAAUGUCUGAAAUCAAUUAUGCGCCAUGCACUUGUAUAUAACUAAGGUACAGUUAUUCCAAUGAUGAUCCAAUAAUUUUAUGCCAUCCCUAUA